rnacentral:rRNA from 1 species
UGCAGAGGGUGCGAGCGUUAAUCGGAAUUACUGGGCGUAAAGCGUGCGUAGACGGUCAAGUAAGUCGGGUGUGAAAGCCCCGGGCUCAACCUGGGAAUUGCAUUCGAGACUGCGUGGCUAGGGUGCGGAAGAGGGAAGCGGAAAUUUCCGGUGUAGCGGUGAAAUGCGUAGAUAUCGGAAGGAACACCAGUGGCGAAAGCGGCUCCUGGUCCAGCA